rnacentral:rRNA from 1 species
UGGGGAAUUUUGGACAAUGGGGGAAACCCUGAUCCAGCCAUGCCGCGUGAGUGAAGAAGGCCUUCGGGUUGUAAAGCUCUUUCAGCCGGAACGAAACGGUCACGGUUAAUACCCGUGACUACUGACGGUACCGGAAGAAGAAGCACCGGCUAACUACGUGCCAGCAGCCGCGGUAAUACGUAGGGUGCGAGCGUUAAUCGGAAUUACUGGGCGUAAAGCGUGCGCAGGCGGUUUUGUAAGUCAGAUGUGAAAUCCCCGGGCUUAACCUGGGAACUGCGUUUGAAACUACAAGGCUAGAGUGUGGCAGAGGGGGGUGGAAUUCCACGUGUAGCAGUGAAAUGCGUAGAGAUGUGGAGGAACACCGAUGGCGAAGGCAGCCCCCUGGGUUAACACUGACGCUCAGGCACGAAAGCGUGGGGAGCAAACAGGAUUAGAUACCCUGGUAGUCCACGCCCUAAACGAUGUCAACUAGUUGUCGGGUCUUAACGGACUUGGUAACGCAGCUAACGCGUGAA